rnacentral:rRNA from 1 species
GCACAAGCGGUGGAGCAUGUGUUUAAUCGAAGCAACGCGAAGAACCUUACCAGGUCUUGACAUCCCGAUGCUAUUUCUAGAGAUAGAAAGUUACUUCGGUACAUCGGUGACAGGUGGUGCAUGGUUGUCGUCAGCUCGUGUCGUGAGAUGUUGGGUUAAGUCCCGCAACGAGCGCAACCCCUAUUGUUAGUUGCCAUCAUUCAGUUGGGCACUCUAGCGAGACUGCCGGUAAUAAACCGGAGGAAGGUGGGGAUGACGUCAAAUCAUCAUGCCCCUUAUGACCUGGGCUACACACGUGCUACAAUGGUUGGUACAACGAGUUGCGAGUCGGUGACGGCGAGCUAAUCUCUUAAAGCCAAUCUCAGUUCGGAUUGUAGGCUGCAACUCGCCUACAUGAAGUCGGAAUCGCUAGUAAUCGCGGAUCAGCACGCCGCGGUGAAUACGUUCCCGGGCCUU